rnacentral:rRNA from 1 species
GAUGAACGCUAGCGGGAGGCUUAACACUGCAAGUCGAGGGGCAGCAUAGGGUAGCAAUACUCUGAUGGCGACCGGCAAACGGGUGAGUAACGCGUAUGCAACCUACCCUGUACAGGGGGAUAACCCGGAGAAAUUCGGACUAAUAUCCCGUAAUAAUAUCCGGAGGCAUCUUUGGAUAUUUAAAGUUCCGACGGUACGGGAUGGGCAUGCGUAACAUUAACUGGUUGGUAAGGUAACGGCUUACCAAGGCUAUGAUGUUUAGGGGUCCUGAGAGGGUGGUCCCCCACACUGGUACUGAGACACGGACCAGACUCCUACGGGAGGCAGCAGUGAGGAAUAUUGGUCAAUGGGCGCAAGCCUGAACCAGCCAUCCCGCGUGCAGGAAGACGGCCCUAUGGGUUGUAAACUGCUUUUCCAGGGAGAGAAACUUACGCACGUGUUGCGUGACUGACGGUACCCUGGGAAUAAGCAUCGGCUAACUCCGUG